ACUGUGAGUUGGCUGCGUUUCUGUCUGCCUGUGUCUGUGUGAAAGGUCUGCCAGGGCCUCCUAGGCCUGCUCCUUGUGGAGGAGUGUCCAGAGGCAAUGUUGGAAGUGACAUCUCAUUCCCUGACGCUCCUGAGUCCCACAGACGCCCAUCAGGCCGGUCUGAGGAGGGGCAAGUGCAUCAGGACAGACCUGGCUCGGGUCUCCUAUUUCCUCCCAGGGCCUGGCAGAGGACUUGCUCUGAAGGGAGCCCCUCCCCAGGCCUAGAUCAGGCUACUUGGAAGUCCCUGAAGUGGUGGAAACUUCAGCAGGCCACUCGGGCUCAGGUGAUGUGGGCUAAGUUGGGAAACUCCAUCUCUGUUCUGCUUCCGAGCUUGAAGCCAUCCUACCCUGGAGGCAGGCAGACAAAGCCACCACCAUGCUUGCCCCCAGCCUUGGGCCAGGGCAUACCUCCCAAGCCCUGGUUUUAUUUGAAAUGGCUGGACAACACCACUUCAUGUAGAGAUCAUGGAUCCAUCCACCUUGUGGAGCCCUAAGCUGAGAAAUGAGGUACACCAGCAUGGGGAGCAGAGGUGGGGGGAUGGUGGGCUACAGAAACAGGUGCAAAGCAACUAAGCCAAACUCAGAGCCUCAAGCCAGGGUAAGAGAGAGAGAGUGGGGGUUGGCAUUGAAGUUAGUAUCAAGGUGUGCAGUUCAGAGUGGUCUUGGGGAAGCGGUGGUGCUAGACCCUCUGGACUGGGCCCACCUCGGAAUGGCAGGUAAGAAAGGGCAGGGCAGGGUCUGGGUAGCAAGUUCUCUGUGUAUGCAGGAAGCAAAGAUGAGAGCUUUCUAGCAAGUUUCACAUCUGGCCUGUGUUUCCUCUGGUCUCUGCUUUCAUUUAUACUGUCCCCACCCAAUUCCUUCCUCUUUCUCUCAUUCAUUCAACAAACAGGUGGUGCAUUUACUGUAAGGCAAGCACAAUUCUAGACAGCAGGUUUGGAUGUGUAUCCCCUCUAAAUCUCAUAAUGAAUCGUAAUCCCCAUUGUUGGAGGUGGGAAGGUGUCUUGGUCAUGGGGGUGGGUCCUGCAUGGCUUGGUGCUCUCCUCACCAUAGUGAGUUCUCACGAGAUCUGGUCAUUUAAAAG
rnacentral:lncRNA from 1 species